rnacentral:rRNA from 1 species
GACGAACGCUGGCGGCGUGCUUAACACAUGCAAGUCGAACGGAAAGGCCUCUUUCGGGGGGUACUCGAGUGGCGAACGGGUGAGUAACACGUGAGUAACCUGCCCUUGACUUUGGGAUAACUUCAGGAAACUGGGGCUAAUACCGGAUAGGAGCUCCUGCUGCAUGGUGGGGGUUGGAAAGUUUCGGCGGUUGGGGAUGGACUCGCGGCUUAUCAGCUUGUUGGUGGGGUAGUGGCUUACCAAGGCUUUGACGGGUAGCCGGCCUGAGAGGGUGACCGGCCACAUUGGGACUGAGAUACGGCCCCGGCUCCUACGGGAGGCAGCAGUGGGGAAUAUUGCACAAUGGGUGGAAGCCUGAUGCAGCAACGCCGUGUGCGGGAGGACGGCCUUCGGGUUGUAAACCGCUUUCGCUCAUGACGAAGCUUUGUGUGACGGUAGUGGGUAAAGAAGCACCGGCUAACUACGUG